rnacentral:rRNA from 1 species
CUCCCGGUUGAUCCCGCCGGACCCUGACUGCUAUCGGAUUGGUACUAAGGCAUGCGUGUCGUUGUAGCAAUACAAGGCGGACGGCUCAGUAACACGUAGUCAACCUAACCUAUGGACGUGGAUAACCUCAGGAAACUGAGAAUAAACCGCGAUAGAUCAUUAUGCCUGGAAUGGCUUAUGGUUCAAACAAUUUAUUGCCGUAGGAUGGGACUGCGGCCUAUCAGCUUGUUGGUGAGGUAAUGGCCCACCAAGGCUAUAACAGGUACGGGCUCUGAGAGGAGAAGCCCGGAGAUGGGUACUGAGACACGGACCCAGGCCCUAUGGGGCGCAGCAGGCGAGAAACCUUAGCAAUGUGCGAAAGCACGACUAGGUUAAUCCGAGUGAUUUCUGUUGAAGAAAUCUUUUGUCAGUCGUAAAACCACAGACGAAUAAGGGGUGGGCAAGUCUGGUGUCAGCCGCCGCGGUAAUACCAGCACCUCGAGUGGUCAGGAGGUUUAUUGGGCCUAAAGCAUCCGUAGCCGGCUACGCAAGUCUCCGGUUAAAUCCAGCUGCUCAACAGAUGGGCUGCCGGAGAUACUACAUAGCUAGGGAGCGGGAGAGGUAGACGGUAUUCUGUGGGUAGGGGUAAAAUCCACUGAUCCAUAGAGGACCACCAGUGGCGAAGGCGGUCUACCAGAACGCGUUCGACGGUGAGGGAUGAAAGCUGGGGGAGCAAACCGGAUUAGAUACCCGGGUAGUCCCAGCUGUAAACGAUGCAAACUCGGUGAUGCAUUGGCUUAUGGCCAAUGCAGUGCCGCAGGGAAGCCGUUAAGUUUGCCGCCUGGGAAGUACGGACGCAAGUCUGAAACUUAAAGGAUUGGCGGGGGAGCA